GGGGAAAUGGCCGAGUGGUCGAAGGCGAUCGCCUGCUAAGCGAUUGUAGCAGAGAACCUGCUACCGAGAGUUCGAAUCUCUCUUUCUCCG
rnacentral:tRNA from 1 species